UGGGGAUUAGUGUAAUGGUAGCACAAAUGACUCUGGAUCAUUUAGUCAAGGUUCGAAUCCUUGAUCCCCAG
rnacentral:tRNA from 1 species